CGUGCAGCCAACUUCGUGUGAGUUGAAAAUAUGGCACGCUUCCAACUUCACGUAGUGCUGCCAACUAUUGAACAAAGUGGUCAGUCUCGUUUGGCGAAAAGUGAUGCAAAAGAGAAUUGACAGUCGGAAGAAACACGAGGGAAGGAAUUGUCAUUAUUUUUGAAAAUCAAAUAUUCGCCCACGAAAUAUGCAAACGUAAAGGAUAAACCCGUUAUGUUGAAUAAUCGAAUAAAAUACGACAAGUGUUCUUGUGUUUUCUCGCUGGGAAAGUACCGCACAUUAAACCGAAUUGCGGAGCCAAUAGCAUAAAGCGAAAAAAAGCGUGUGCAAUUGUGUUAGUGUGCGUGCAUUGGUUGCUUGGUGUGUUGGCCGAAAGCAAGUGAGACGAGAGUGUGAAGAUAAAAUAAAAUAAAGAACAAAAAGAACGGAAUAGAAACCAAACAAAGAAAAAAAAAGAAAAACACGUAAAACAUUUAAAUGCAAAACCAGAUUAAACUGCAAAUAAAGAAUAAAAGAGAAACAAUAUAUUUAAGAUACUAACGAAGAAAUGAUUAUGUAAAUAUUAUAUAUUAGAAUUGAGAGAGUAGAUUAAACAUUUGUCUAAGUUAAAUGGCGAACAUAAACAAAUUUUAUUUGAGCGCCAGUUUUAUUUAUAGCAUUACUAAGCUCCGGCUGCGGCUGCGGCAAUAAUCAAUUGCUAGUGUUAAUGUAACCCAAAACUAAUAAAAACAUGUUGGAUAUAUUA